CCGCUCCCAUUCUGCAAAUCGUUAAUCUCAGAUUUGGAAGGAGGACGAAUCGGAAGAGGCGGAGCUGGUGCGGCGGAAAUCGUGGAAGGAGGAGGACGCUCGACGAUCGGAGGAGAUGGAGCGACGGCGGUGGCGGCGGGAGGAGGGCGAUCGUCGGGGAUGGGAGAAGGAGAGGAGGACCAGAGGGAACUGUUGAGCCACUCAGGGACACCUUUCUUCGCCAUUGUUUUUGAGGAAAAAUGUUUGGAGUCUCUUCUUGCUUCUUGCUACUUCUCUCUCUCUCUCGGGGGAGAGGUUAAGACCAAAAGGAGUUCCGUGUACAGCUGGCUGGCUGGCUGGGCCACGCUCUCUUAAUGCGUCCUUUUCUUUUUUCUAAAAUCCCCCUAAAUAAUACAACCUACUGCCAAAAUUGCAUAAAUUGACAUCAUUUUCCUUAUUUUCCACACUAUAUUUUUAUCUUCUUGUUACUAAACAAACUAGUGAUCGAAUUUUCACAUUUUACUAAGUCUUAAACUUAUCAUCUUUCAUGAGAUCCGUUAAACCAUUAUAAGUUAAUUUUGAUCAUAAGAUGUUAUAUCAACAUCGUGUGUAAUGAGUUGAUUUUUUCAAAAAAAAAAAAAAAGGUAAUGAGAUGACAUUAUGUUAUGGUGGGGUGGACCAUAUGAUAAACGAAAUCUAUUAAUAAGGAAAUUAACUGAGUUGAAAUACAAGCAAAGAGAUGUUACAAUGUAUAAGAAAUUGCCAACAUCAGGAACUUGAAGUUUUCUGCGAACAAGGAAUCAACCAAGAAACCGAAUCAAGCCAUAGCUAUAAACGUACCGAUCCAUUUUCUUGAGUCUUCAACAAAAUGUUUUAGAAUUCUCCAAGAAGAAGAUAGUAAGCAGCAAUAAUAAAACACAGCAGAAAAGACGCGAAGAGAAGGAAGAUGUAACAGUAUGGGAAAAGGACGAUCAUAAUCAUUAACAAGAUUAGUGAAAUCGUUCCACAACUCAUGACUGCUCUUUGCUUUUGUUGGAAGAAAACCAGGAGUUUUUUUUCUUUUUGACUUUGAACAAAAUAUUUGUCACACAAUUACUUCUUCAAUACACAAUUACUUCUUCAAUUUUUUUUAAUUUAUGAUUCAGAUCAUUUACCAAAUCAAACCAAGAAAAGAAACUUCCGUGAAAUGAUCAAAGAAUAAAAAUAUAAGAUCUGACAUCCUAAAAACUCUCUAUCUAUAAUAUCUGUUACACAUAAUUACCAUCAGAAAUCUCAACACUGAAGCAAGGUUUGAUCUGAGAUAUUCUCAGGCAGCUAAAGUUAACUUACACAAUCAUGUACAUAUGAUGAAAGAAAGUUGCAGAGUCUAUGAAUUCAAAACAACAAGGAGAAAGGGACUGAAUGAUUGUUAAAACCUGACGAUCUUUAUUUAUUUUAUUUAGAGCGCAAUUUAUCUGCGACAUAGAGCAUAUGGCUGAUGUUUGUAGGAGGAUAGUUUUGAAGAAGUUUGAGGUUCGACGUGAAAUCACCAGCCAGCAGACGCCUUCGUACUAGUAUCAACAUUGCACAACAUACUCGUAGUAGCGUCUCCUGCAAAUUAAUGUUUCAUUUUCACUUGUUAGCCUUCUCUCUUACAAAACAGCAAGUGCAUGUAGAGCCAAUUUACGAUAAGAUGCAAAGAGAAUCUCUAUGACUAUACCACGUACAAAAGCCAUAUCGUUGUUAAUGUCUCCUAAUUCUUCCCUACAUACAUGCACGUUAUAUUGUCCUAAACUAAGCUGCUUAGAGGUAUUGAAAUGAAACCCUUAAUGACUCAAGUCACUCACAAGAAUGGAAUUCACUUAGGAAACUGAAUGGUAAUAAAUUGAAUACUACCUGUGGACCUUCGGGGUCGCUUAAGAGUGUGUCCCAGAUGUGAAGGCUUUCCACGAAGUUGAACUCUUGAGUCAAGAGGAGUGUGAUCCAUCUGAACGCAUAGAAUUGUGGGUUUAUCUGAAAAUUGACAAAUGGGGUAUCAACUAUCACAACGCUGAAACACUUCUAUAAAAUUACCGAAGCUCCAAAAAACGAAAAUUUUGAAAGCAAGGCGUCUCAUCAGUGAUAUCUUACUUUAGUUGUGACUUCUAGGUGACGCCAAAGUUCUUCAUCAUGAUGCUUUAAGAGCAUGGACAGCCUUGUUAUAGUGUAACGUAUACCCACCACACUGUUAUCAAGUUGCUGACAGAAAUUAUCUCGAAACCCACUCAUCAAUUCAACAAAACAGAAAAAUGCAUCUGCUUCAGCAUACGCCUGCAACACUUAAAAUGCCAGCGUUAAGCAAAUAAGGGGGGACGAGGUGGUGUUCUAUCCAAAAGACAUCCAUUAGAAGUAGAAAAAUGUGAGUAUAAAUAAAACAAGGAAAAAAAAAGAAAUGGUACAUUAGCAAGAGCUACUCACUGCAUUUCCUUUAUCUGGGUCAUUUUUAAAGAUGUAGAAGAUAGGUGCCAAUAUCUCAUUCAUCCCUUGUACAUAUCUGAUGCCAGGAUUCAACUUUGCAAAGAUAGUCAACACGUUCUUCAAAGCAUCCUGAAGAUGCAAGACAUGUACAAAAUGACCGGGAAGACUAUUAAUAUGCACAUGUUUCAACCAAACGCUUUAAAUAGGCAAACCCAAAAUCCAACCUGAUUAGAUUUUGCUACCGGGGAAUCUCCAGAGAAAAAGUGCAUGUCUGGAUGCGUACGCAUCACAUCACGGUCGAUCUGUUCCAAGACUUCCGUGUCCUGAAAGUACCAGUUUAAAAUUAGGAAGGUCAUUUUGCAGCUUUAAAUGCAACAUGAAAAAAACAGUACUAAACCACGAAGAGAAAAUGAUAUUUCAUAGUGAUUAUGUGCAGUCACCAAAGAGUCAUGCUUUUACAACCAACCGUAAGUGACAAAAUCAUGAUGAAAGAAACAAAAUUUUAGAAGUGCAUAAGUGAGCAUUUACAAACUAAUAUCUGAGAUUGUCAUAAUUCAGCUAUAUUAUCCAUGAUACUAUAACUUUCAGGCUACAUUCAGAACUCAAUACUAAGGUAAUAACAUCUAAACUUGACUCACAAAAUUGAUAAUAUUUGAGGAUAAUGAUAUCUCAAGCUGAAAUCUAAAUACCUUGAAAAAGUUGUUCCAUAAGCUUGUUGUUCCAAGACUUAAGGGAUGAUCCUCAUGAGUUAUCUCUGACCUUGAAAGGGCACCAGGGCCUUCGAUUUUGGGAUCAUUACUAUCGCCACCCUUUGAUUUCUCCAUCUUCCUAGUUACUUCAGACUAACUAGCCACAAAAAUAUAUAGAAACCGGGUAAUCUUAAAUUGAAAAAAGGCGAAAGUGACAUGAAAAAGGAAGAGCUAUCACCAAGAUAACGUAAGCAUCUCUAUAAUGACCGAUUCAUCAUUAUUAACUACUUUAUUUCUAAUUGUACAUCUAAGAAAUAUCAUAUGCACAAUGGUCCUAGAACAGUCUGCUUAGUCAAACACAUGACAUCUAUUUAGCUGUCAUGUCAACAUAUUAAACCAACAAAUACAAGCAUGUGGAUCAAAACUAAUAAAAAUGUAUGCUUUCCCAUUAAUCAUCACUGAAUUCUACUUAAUGACAGUGAAUUUCCAUCAACACGUCGCCCUUAGCUAGCGGCAACAAACCCAUUAUGUCUACUUCAUCACUCGUUUGUGUCUGUUCGGUCAAUCUAAUGGACUUACGGGAUUCAUAAGAAGCUCCUCUUUGAAUUGCUUGUACUGAGACCUUUUCUUAGCUAACUCAGAAGACCACAGGGAACGAUCAGGUGAAAGAUAGCCCAGUAAAAGCUGUCAAUAGAAACAGUUAAAACUCAAAUCCGUUCCUUUAAAGAUCCAAAGAUAUUCGUUUUGGGUACCUUCCAGACGAGGGAGCGAAUGCCAGCAUCAUCAGGUAGACCUUGUGAAGCGAUUUUCCUCAAUUCCUUUAAGUCUAUCACCUUCUUCGACAACUAUCACAAAGACCAAUCAAUCAAUCAAUCGAAAGAAAAGAAUGUAUAAUGAGUUUAAGGACUAACCUCAGCGACGACCUGCGUCUUCCGGGAAACAUCCUCAGCCGCGGGAGUUACGCUUCCAGGUCCAUCUACCCCGCUCCCAUUCUGCAAAUCGUUGGUCUCAGAUUUGGAAGGAGGACGAAUCGGAGCUGGUGCGGUGGAAAUCGCGGAGGGAGAAGGAGACGGACGCUCGACGAUCGGAGGAGAUGGAGGGACGGUGGUGGCAGCGGCGGGAGGAGGGCGGAGAGGGCGAUCGUCGGGGAUGGGAGAAGGAGAGGAGGACCAGAGCGAACUGUUGAGCCACU
rnacentral:lncRNA from 1 species